GACGAACGCUGGCGGCGUGCCUAAUACAUGCAAGUUGAGCGCUGAAGGUUGGUACUUGUCCCGACUGGAUGAGCAGCGAACGGGUGAGUAGCGCGUGGGGAAUCUGCCUUUGAGCGGGGGACAACAUUUGGAAACGAAUGCUAAUACCGCAUAAAAACUUUAAACACAAGUUUUAAGUUUGAAAGAUGCAAUUGCAUCACUCAAAGAUGAUCCCGCGUUGUAUUAGCUAGUUGGUGAGGUAAAGGCUCACCAAGGCGAUGAUACAUAGCCGACCUGAGAGGGUGAUCGGCCACAUUGGGACUGAGACGCGGCCCAAACUCCUACGGGAGGCAGCAGUAGGGAAUCUUCGGCAAUGGACGAAAGUCUGACCGAGCAACGCCGCGUGAGUGAAGAAGGUUGUCGGAUCGUAAAACUCUGUUGGUAGAGAAGAACGUUGGUGAGAGUGGAAAGCUCAUCAAGUGACGGUAACUACCCAGAAAGGGACGGCUAACUACGUG
rnacentral:rRNA from 1 species